ACGCGGCCCGCGCCGCCAAGCGGGCCGUCGCCGUCGUGUCCCCAUCCUUUCCAGCUCGAGCGCCGCCGCCGGGCAGUCGCCCCACCGCUGCCGCAACACUGUUCCGGUUGCACGCCGGAAUCGAAUCCGCUCGUCUCUUCUCGUCCGACUCCUCCCCGCCAGUCUCCGAGUUGCCGCCUGAAGCGGCGGGUCGGGUCGGAUUCAGAGAGGGACCUGCCACUCUCCACCUCGCCCUCCGGCGACGGCGGCGGCGACCUCGCUUGGCCGAACCACACCGACACGCCGGUGAGUUCCGACACGCCGCUCAGUUUUUUUCCAAGUAUUGUUCGGAAGAAUGCAGAGGCCGGUGGUUCAAGCGAGAAAGAGCACACACCAAUCCAUGUAUUAUUGCAAUUAUUAUGCAAAACAUCCGGUCCGAGCAACAAGACAAUACAUAAGCGUAGCGAAGCAUUCACAUGUGAAAGCCAUUGAAUAAUUCAGGUGGAAUAGGGAAGGUAUGCCGUAUGCUUACAGAUUUCCUUCGGAGUUGUUUGCCAACAAACAUAUCAACUGGAGAUGGUAUCAGCUUGAAGUUGAGGGCAUCCUUUGAUAUUAUACUCCACCUGACCAGAGGAUGACAAACCUUUCAAGCAGGAUAGUGCCCCACAAUCUUUGAUGGUUAAGUUGGUCAAUGCCUUGCAUGAGUGGAGCCUUAUGGUUAUUAAAGCUGAACACGUCAUUAUUUCAACUUCACUUAGCUCAAGCUCGUCCUCCUCAGAACAAUUGAAGUCAAUCUUAACAUCCUUCAGGGAGGACAUACCAAUCAAGGAUAGUUUCUUCAGGUAUGGCAGCUCCUCAAAUGGUGGCAGGGUUUUCAUUGCUGUACAGUCUUGGAGUUGGAGGCUUUCCAAAUUGCCGAGUGAGAAAUUUCGUCCCAACCAUGUUGGAGUAGCACCGGCAUAGUUUAUGACAAGAAGAUGUGCAAGGUCACCAUGCGGUUGAAGACCCUCGAUCACUUCUUUCUGAACAUCACUAUUUUCUCCCCACGAGAGUGACAGUGUCCUCAGAUGUUUCUUAUCUUUAAUCCUUGCACAGCUGGCCUCUGCCUUAUCUCUGACAUUCUCAAGACCAAGGAUACUAAGCGACCCUUUGAUCUCCUGUAAGUGUUCCAGCUGCGAAAUAUUGAAGGCACUCCCUUGUUGAACCUGAAAUUCAUUCAGCUCUUGUAAAAACUUAAGUUCCCCAACUCUUGAUAUCUUUGAGUGCAAUGAUCCCGGCCUCGGAACAAGCA